UACGGGGGGGGUAAGCGUUGUUCGGAAUUACUGGGCGUAAAGGGCUCGUAGGCGGCCAACUAAGUCAGACGUGAAAUCCCUCGGCUUAACUGAGGACGUGCGGGAGAUACUGAAGGGCUUGAGUCCGGAAGAGGGUGGUGGAAUUCCCAGUGUAGCGGUGAAAUGCGUAGAUAUUGGGAGGAACACCGGUGGCGAAGGCGGCCACCUGGGCCGGAACUGACGCUGAUGCGCGAAAGCGUGGGGAGCAAACGGG
rnacentral:rRNA from 1 species